rnacentral:lncRNA from 1 species
UCAUGAGGCCAUGAAUGCAUGGAUGAACAAUAUUUGUUAGAAAGCUGUCGUACUUGAAUCGGCCCAAGUACAACUACCUUCUUAACCGACUCUAGUGGUCUUUAAUGAGCAGUUCAACUACCUCAUCCAGCAAGUGCAAGCUCUAUUCGCUAUUGUACAAGGGAUGCAACAAACUGCUGCAUCCCAACCUAUUCUGGAAGCUCCACAUUAGAAUCAAGCU